CUCUUGCAGCCAAGACUGAGAUAAAAGCUGUCUACUGCAGAGUUUUGGAGGGGAAAUUACAAUGUGUUGUGAUUGGUUACAGAGACAGAAGGUUCUAGCUGCCUGAGGGAAGAAACUCCCUGAUUGGUUAAUGUAUCCCUUUGGAACUGGAUAAAAGGGAAGGUUGAACAGCCAGGAGGAGGAAGGCUGUAGGCCUGUUCACGGAACCGGCUGGGCUGGUUUGGUUUGAUUGCAAACUGCACUUGAACCUGACCGGACCAGUUUAGCGCCCCCCUUUGAACCCCCCCAUUCAGUCCGGUCCGGGGGGGGGGGAGUUUGAUUCAUGAAUAUAUUUUAUUUUUUACCUCUAGCCCCUUCGGGGGCUUCCUAAAGGAUGCGGGGAGCGGGGGCCUCGCAGAGGCCAUUUGCACAUGCAUGCUGGCAGAGAAAAUGGCUGCCACGCCGGUAUAUGGAGGCUCGGACGGGCCAGAAAGUGCGACUGAACAGGCCAUGGUGGUGAUUACCAAGGCUGGCGGGGGGAGGGGCAACCUUCAUGGACCCCCGCUUGCCUUUAGGAAGCCCACCCCCCUGAAGGGGUUAGAGGUAACAAAAAAAAAUUUUUUUUAGCGUGGACGCGAAGCCCCCUGAACCAUCGGGGGGCGGGGUUUAGUCCGAGGUCGGACUGAACUGGGGAUGGAUUGGUUUGAUGCCAAAUGGUUGAAUCGAACCCUCGAACAGGUUCGGGGGCAAACCUGUUUGCACAUCCCUAGAGGGCUGUGGGAGGAGAGUUCUGUGUGGGAGUGAGCACUGCUGAGUGUUGUGUGAAAUGGAAGACGGGAACACCAGCAGGGUUGGGUUGGGCUGAAACUGCAAGGAAAAGUAGCAGUGAGGGAUCUGGUCCUACUGGAACCUGCUGGGCCUUGGUGAUCACCCUUGCACUGACUGACUGUAUAAGCUAGUUGGCAAAAGGAACUUUAUAGGUGUGAAGAAAUGUCUGAAAAAGUCCAAACAUUGAGAGUAUGAAUACCUAAUGAGAUAAGCAUGUUUCAUCAAGGGGUGAGGCAUGGAGUGUAUAGCAAUAAAAGGAGCAUAUCUAGGCUAAGUAGCAAUAAUCGUCUGGGAGCACUGAUUGCAGAAAGCUGGAAGUAGCCUGUGCACUGCUGAAAGAUUACUUAAAACUAAUUAAUUAAAACUGGCCAUAAAAUGACUCAUAAGCUGGUAGGAACGAGACUAAGGGGUGCCAAAGUUCAAACAUAAGCCCAGAGGGGUUUUGUCAGGCUCCCCUAUGGGUCCAAAUGUAGCCCACCACAGCCUCUCCAUAUUUCAUUAAGUCUCAGGUGGAAUAUAUGUUUUGAAGUUCAAAGUUGUGGGAAAGUGCCCCUGGCACUUUCUGAUUGGGGAGUUUGGCCUCUGCAGUCUUUCAUCUCCUCUCAGCUAGACUCUCAGGAAGAGUUGGGGCUGUUGUGUACACUCACCAAAACGAAGAUUCACAGGUACUGAACUCCUGGCCAGGGAGUAGGAAUGACAAAGAACAGCAGCUCUAGCUGGUGGCAGCCGUGGUGAGGAUCUUCUGAGGAGGCUCUGCUCCAUGGACCAAUGCCAACUGCUCACUGAGGGAUGCACAUCAGAGGCUUCUCUUGCUGACUGUAGCUUGCAGGGAGGUUCCUAUGGGAAGAGAUGAUCCUUCAUAAUCCCAUGGUCCAAUUCAUUUCGGCUUUAAAGAUAAUCUCUUGGGCUGAACUUCUUUACCACCAGAGCACACUCUGCUGUAUGAGGAUUUUAAUGUUUCUCCUCACACCCCUCAACAGGGCUAUGGGCCCAGAGCUCUGAGACUGGUGAGGAAAGAAAGCAGCUUGAAUAAGAAAACAAGGUUUUAUCAAAGAUGGAGACAAGACAGAGGACUGAGAAGUUACGAAGUCCAGAUUUUAAGCUGUGGUCUUUCAAAAUGGAGAUGCUCGUAAAAAGCCACAGAAUCAACAGGGUCUUACACACAGAGCACCCUGUCAGAGAAGGAGAAGAAAGACAAGCCUAGGACAGUGCAAAUGGUAAAGCCACUCGGAUAAUUUGUUUAUUGGGGCAUGACUCUAUAUUGGUGCAUUUAAGAAAACCAACAACAUGCAAAGGACAUGUGGGACACUCUGAAGAAAUUGUAUGAAAGAAAGUCAGCUGUCUCCAAGGUGCAUCAAGUUAUAGAGAUGUGUAAUCAGAAACUAAAGGAUGGGGAGGAUCUGUCAAAACAUGUACAUAAGCUGUUGGAGACUUAACAACAGCUGUAAGCACAGGGAGUAAUUUUGCCUGAUAAGGUUGAGACUGGAUUGUUACUGAGUAGUCUUCCUGAAUAUUUUGAACCUAUUGUAAAUGUGUUAGAAGCCAAAGAUGAUUUGUUUGGAGUUUGUAAUAAACCGCUUGGAACCGU